UGAAAAAAAUGAAAAGUUUGUUUGAUGUUUUCGCCGCGACGAUUCGAAAUGAAACGAAGAAAUUAGUAGAAGCGAAGAUCCCCGGAGAGGUGAAUGAGGAUUUUACCACUGGAACUAGAGAGCUAGGCUCUGACUGGUCUACUACAGCAAGGAAUGUGCCAGCGGCCAAUCUGACGAACAUGUGACAGAAGAUUUGGCAAUGGGUGAAGAAACACUGAGAUUGAAAUGCAACCACAGGUGGAGGCUUCACCCAAACUUUUCAGACGGAUAUGAGAUACAAAGUUACCCAAGUAUAAAUGGUUGAAAGUGUAGGAGAGCCAGACAAGAAGGCAGGAAAUUGAUGUCACUUUUACUUCAAUAAACAGCAUCAGCAGCCGAAACCACAACUGCAGUAAAAGAUGCAACAACCGCACCGACAACAUCAA